CGUCCGCCCGGCGCCCCCGGGGCUGCGCGGAGCGGGGCCGGCCCCGCCGCCCGUGCCUGGCUGGAAGUGAAACGCGCCCCGGCUGCUCCUUUUUCUUUCUUCUUCUUUUUUUUUUUUUUUUUUUUUUUUUUUUCCUUUUUGAGCCUCCAAAAGGCUCACUCGCCCCUUUCAUCUGCCGCCGCGGCCCAAUGGGAAGGCGGAGGCUGCCUGCAAGUGGUCUAAUCUCAAUGAGGUGUCAAUCAUGUUCCCCGCAGGGAGAAGCGGAGCACAUGGAUUUCUAAACACGCUGGGAUUUUAUACAUCUACAAAAAAUAACAACAAGCGAACCUGACCCUACUGAAAACAGUCAAAUGAAUCGUAAUUGCAGAUCAAUGCAGAGAGAUGGGGAAACUUCAUUCGAAACAUGCUGCCGUUUGUAAACCCAGAGAAAGUCCAGAAGGUAGGGAUGGCUCCUCACUGUUAGUAACUUUGAACGCCUUCCUCGGUCCGGCUGGCUGCCCCUGGCCCCCUGCCCUCUCCCCUCAACUUUCCGCCGCGCUUUGCUCUCUGCGCGGCCGCCCCGCUCCCAGCUCGGUGCCAGUCCGGGCUCCAGCCCCAGCCCCGGUGCUGGUCCCGGUCCCGGCUCCAGCCCCAGCCCCGGUGCCGGUCCCGGCUCCAGCCCCAGCCCCGGUGCUGGUCCCAACCACGCUCCCGGCUCCAGCCCCGGUGCCGGUCCCGGCUCCAGCCCCGGUGCCGGUCCCGGUCCCGGCUCCAGCCCCGGUGCCGGUCCCGGUCCCGGCUCCAGCCCCGGUGCCAGUCCGGGCUCCAGCCCCAGCCCCGGUGCCGGUCCCGGCUCCAGCCCCGGUGCCGGUCCCGGCUCCAGCCCCAGCCCCGGCCGGCGCGGGGAUGGCCGCGGGGGUCGGGCAGGCUCUGCGGGCGGCUCAGCGGAGGCAUUGUCUCCUCUUUUCUAGGUGAUAGUUUCGCGGUGAACGCCUCUCUGGCUCGCAGAGGGCUGGAGGACUGGAUGGUGAAGCAGAAAUACUCCGGGGGCAGCAGCAGCGGCGGCAGCAGCUCGGGACUCCAGCACGGCUGCCAGCACCGCGCCGUGUGCAGGCUCUCCAGCGCCAGGGUAUGUCAGCUUCCUCGCUGCCCCCCCGCCCCUUCCCUUUGAAAUAGUGAAAAGCAAAAGCUCUUUCUACAUCCCUCUUUCCCUCCCAAGGGGCGGUUGUGCAAAGGAAGGUUUUCUUUGCCCUAAUGCUGCUCCGAGGCGCUGCCCCGUGGGUGGUUUCCUUCAGUCCUUUGAUGAAGUUAGAAGCUGCAGAGCAAACUUGGUGAGGGUACAAAAGCCAAAGGAGUAAGGGAACCUGCCUGCUGGUGUCUGGGCAGUACGAUUAGAACAAAACCUUUCACAAACAGGAACAAACGAUCUCUGGGGAAAGCCCAGCACCCAGCUAGUGCGCGAUAGAUUGUGAGCCCUGAUUAGUGCACAAGUUUGCCUGUGACAUUUUGGCAGUCAAGAAGUCCCCGAAGAGUUAUUGUUAUUU
rnacentral:lncRNA from 1 species